GUAACAAAGUCCAUUUUUUCGCUAUUCUUUCGUCCAUAGCACACCAUCAUCAUCAUUUUUUCAUUUCAGUCAUCAUCGUAGACCAUAAACGAGGCACAAUGUACAAUAACCGAAAGAAAAUUUUCCCGAUGAUUUUGUUUUCCAUCAUAUCAUCUUUUUUUGGAAACGAUGAAAUAGCUUCAUAGUCCAUUGAAUUUUUUUUCGUUGUGGGAUGGAUCGUUUUUCACGAUCAGUGAAUGAAACAUAAACAACAACAAUAACAACGAUAAUAAUUUUUUCUUUUUUUCUUUCUUCAAAUACCAAUGUGCACACACAAAUAUUUUGCUAUCAUUCAUUCAUCUUCCAGUUGAUUUUUUUUUUUUUUUGAUUAUCGAUUCUCCCCAUUCUAAAAAGUCUGGAUGGGAAUGAAAACAUCAUGGCUUUAGUAUGGAAUAUCAACAACAAAUCAACAUACCUGAAAGCUAAUCGAACGUUAGAGAGCUUGAUUAAAAUGGAAUGAAAUUUGUUCCCCGUCAUGUAGCAUCGCGAAAAAAUCAAAGGAGUUGUCCAUAUCGCGAAAUUAUACCUACAUACAAUAGAUAGUUGUUGUUGUUAUCUGCAUAAUCUUCCGGUGAAUAUUAUUCUUGAUUCAUCAAUUUGAAUUAUUUAUGAAUACCCACACGCAAACCAAACCAAACGAAGCGAUGGAAAAAAAUUUGAAUUAUUCCAUUGCCCACAAAAAAGUAAGAAUAGUAUGUAUACAUGUUUGCCACAUUUUUCUUGCAUGCAUAUAACACCAUUCAUAUUCAUAUUCGAUAUUUUCAUUUUCAUUUCCAUUCCUCAGGGUUAUAAAUAAAUAAUGUAACAUAAGAUUGCAUGUUGUUAACAUUUCUAUCGAUAUAUAAUGAUCACAUCAUACGUUUUCAAAAUAUUUUCUUAUUAACAGUGAAAAUGUUAGAGUGUUUUGUCUACAAAUAUAUGAAAAUUAUCAUCAACAUAUAUGAUCAUGCUACAUCGUGUUUUGGGUGUUGAUUUGUUGAGAAAUGAAAAAAACAAAAAUUUCUUUAUCAAGUCAAAUCAUUGAAUCUUCGCUUCUGUUUUAUAUCAUUCAGAUGACCGAUGAUGGUGGUGAUGAUUGCUACGCAGAAACUUAUCUUUAUAUAAUUCAUGUGUUCUAUUUUUUUUACCCCAUCCGAUUCGCGAAUCCAAAAACAGCAAUAACAACAACAAUGAACAUAUAUUUUUCUCUUUACACGCAGACGGUAAGUGCGUAUAAAUAAAUGUGAUGUGAUGAUUAUUUAUGAUUCUUAUGACUAUUGUAAUGAUUUCUAAGCCAUUCAUUCUCACUAUAGCCAUCAUUACCAGGUUUUCUUUUUUUACUCACUUUCUAGUACUUCAUGGUUCACUUGAUUUUAUCUAAUACAUUGUUGUUCAUUGAACAACAGAGAAAGAAUUGGUAAAAGAAACAUUUUACAGAACAUUUUUUUCUUUGUUUUCGUUUUGUAUUCUUUCUUCCUUGCAGAUAAUAUUCGAAUUUAUACAUCAACAUCCACAUAACAAUUCUGUGCUGUGACUGCAAACAAACAAACAUAUUUGGAAAAAAGGCAAGGUAACAAUCAAUUAUGAUUAUGUUUGUCUUGUUGUUCGAUUACGCAACACUAAACAAGACAAAAAGACUCGCCCUGUAUAAAGUGGAUGAACCACAAACCAAAGAAAAAACAUGUCGAUCCAUUAGUCCAUAGAACAUAUUUAUAAAUAAAUAAACAAAUCAAGUCCGAACCAUUCGGUGAAGCAAACAUCAAAACAUGAUUCUGAAUUCGUAUUCGAAUACAAAAGAAAACGUCUGCUACUCUGUCUAGGUCAACAAAUACUUAUCACCAAGUAUCAUUCUCGAAAUUCUUCCACGUUGGCAAC